AAUCAACGCUGGCGGCGUGCCUAACACAUGCAAGUCGAACGAGAAAGUGGAGCAAUCCAUGAGGAAAGUGGCGUACGGGUGAGUAACACGUGACUAACCUACCCCUUGAGUGGGGAAUAACCUCGGGAAACCGGGGCUAAUACCGCAUAAUACCUUCGGGUCAAAGGAGCAAUUCGCUUAAGGAGGGGGUCGCGGCUGAUUAGCUAGUUGGUGGGGUAAUGGCCUACCAAGGCAAUGAUCAGUAUCCGGCCUGAGAGGGCGCACGGGCACACUGGAACUGAAACACGGUCCAGACUCCUACGGGAGGCAGCAGUGGGGAAUUUUGCACAAUGGGGGAAACCCUGAUGCAGCAACGCCGCGUGGAGGAUGAAGUCCCUUGGGAUGUAAACUCCUUUCGACCGGGACGAUAAUGACGGUACCGGUGGAAGAAGCCCCGGCUAACUCUGUGCCAGCAGCCGCGGUAAUACAGAGGGGGCAAGCGUUGUUCGGAAUUAUUGGGCGUAAAGGGUGCGUAGGCGGUGCGGUAAGUCUUCUGUGAAAUCUCCGGGCUCAACUCGGAGCCUGCAGGAGAAACUGCCGUGCUUGAGUAUGGGAGAGGUGAGUGGAAUUCCUGGUGUAGCGGUGAAAUGCGUAGAUAUCAGGAGGAACACCUGUGGCGAAAGCGGCUCACUGGACCAUAACUGACGCUGAGGCACGAAAGCUAGGGGAGCAAACAGGAUUAGAUACCCUGGUAGUCCUAGCCCUAAACGAUGAUUGCUUGGUGUAGCAGGUACCCAAUCCUGCUGUGCCGCAGCUAACGCGUUAAGCAAUCCGCCUGGGGAGUACGGUCGCAAGGCUG
rnacentral:rRNA from 1 species